CUGUGACAGGCUGGGUGGGGUUCCUGGGCUCUCUCUGGCACUGGAAGGAGAAGUGGAGCCAGGUCUCUGCCUGCCACUGACCCUCCAGGCUCAGCUAUCCCAGCCCUGAGUGCAAACCACAACUCCUCUCAGGAGCCUGCUCCAGCAAGGCCAGGAUGACAUCAGGGGGAGAAACGCCUUCUGCAGGAACUGGCAUCCCAAGGGCCCCAGAAUCCCUCACAUGCCAAGAGCACAGAAGUAAAUAAGGCAGCCAGAGGAGGAGUUCAGCCAGCAGCUGCCACUGCAAACACCCAGCCAGCCCAGAAGGAAGCAGGAGGCUCUGAGAACACGAGCCACAAAGCAGAGGCCAGGAUCUCCUUCACAGUGUCUGGAGAGGAUGUUUGAGAAGAACUCUUGGCCAAGGAUGGAUUUCUAACCUCAGUGCCCUGAGCCCAUGUUACAGGGGAAAAGGAAAAUGCAGCUUGCAGAAAGGGACAUUUACCGUAUCUGAGGUAAGUUCUGGCAAGACCAAGUUAGGAAGGCCUGAGGAGUUAAAUGAACUGAAAAGGUAUUUAUGGGAAGGGAAGUAAUCAGCUUAACAGAAUGAAGAGGGGAGCAAGACCUGUGAACAGAUUUGAUUGCCAGGAACAGAGCCCAGCUGCCUUUCACAUCCCAGACAAACACAGUUUGCCUUGCAAUUGCUUUCAUUUUAUAAAAGCCACCAUCUGUGGAGAGAGGAAGCAGAAGGUCGAAGUGGAGGUAACAUAACCUCUUCCCUAUGCCAGUCCCAAAAUUUAAUCCUGCAAAAGCAGCAACCUGUAGACCAUGUAGGAGGCAAUUGCCUGUAUUUUGUGACAUCUGUUCUAGUUUCACUUGAAUAGAUAAUGCCAGACAGGUGAAACAGAGAAGUUAGAGGAAUGACUACAGAAGUGCAGAAAAAUAAAAAUGUUCUUAAAGGAUUGUGGGAGGCACCUAGUGGUACUGAUGCACUUAAAGAAUGUUAAUUGCCAAGUAGAUAACUGGAAUUUGAGAGUUUGAAAUGUGCUUUUUUUUAAAGGUCGUGGAAGGUCAGCUCUAAGUUCUUCCUUUCUCGCUGGGAAGGUGCAAUGUCUCACAAAUUAUAGUACACAGAAAGAAAGCAGAGUUGAGCUGUUUUGUGCUUCCCAGUGUGCAUUUUUUGUGGUGUCAUUACCGAGGCUGUUAUCUGAAAAAAUAGCUCUAUUAAAUGAACAGCUCUGAUAUGGAGGAAGACGAUUAUCUCUCUCCUUGUUAAAUUACUGCACUGAUGCACAGCCAGAAGGGACUGUGUUUUCCUUGCAGUUAGAUGUUCACAGGACCAAACAUUUUCCUAAUGAGCAGACAUUAUUAAAGGUUGCUGUGCACAAGGUUGUGUUGUUGGUCAUGAUGAGCCGUGCCUAACGUGGGAGCUGCAGGGAGGUGUUUCAGGGAGGCUGCAGGCACAUGUGAGCUCUGCAGAUGCAUUCCAGGUGGGGAACCUUGCAGAGCUGCUGCUCUCAGUGCUGGAAGCAGGACUAAAGCCUUGUCCUUGCCUCAGGCUUUGCUAGAGCUGCCUUAGGCAAGGCUCUCCUGCCGUGCCAGCACCAGUGGGGACCUGGUGACACCUCUGAGCUCUGCCAUCAGCCCCCGAGCAGGGCUGGGACUGCAGGCUCCUCCUGGGCUGCCCACUCCUGCCAUGGCUCCAGGCUGAUGGCAGGCUGGAAAUAAGUGUGAUUUCAGAGGCUUGUUUGGUUUGAACUGCUGUGGAUUCAAAGAGAAAUUAUUCACACAAGUGGCUUUUUUGAAGUCAUGGCACAACUAUUACCCUUUCUGUCCACUGAAAUGCUCCUAAGUGGCUCCCCUGAUUUUUGUUUUAUUCUGCAUUUUUCUUCAGAAUAUUAUGAGCAUGAACUAAAGCUAGCAUUUUGCAAUGGCAGAGUUGCUAACUGUGCUGCAGUUUUGGUGUGGUUUGGUGUGUGUGUGUGUGUUUUGGUUUGGGUUUUUUUUUGGUCUUGAACUGUUUCAUGUUUUAUUCUCUGUUUGUGAGUAGAUAUCAGCAAAAGCUUAGCUUGGAGGAUGCUUAAAGGAGCACAUUCAGUGCCCAAUCAAGCCUGAUUUUAUUCCGUAACAACGGAAAAUAACAGGGAGAAGAGAAAGUCACCUGUACCAAAGGCAAAACUGAAACUGAGACAGCCCAGAGCAGCUCUCUGGGAGCUGCCCUGAGCCAAGGCAGCAUCCUCAGGGAAGGGGUGGUGGAGACCCAGGGGCAGAGCUCACACAUCCCCUGGACCCAGUGUGUCAGCACCUGGUGGGAAUGCUGAUGUCAGUGCUGCAUUCGGUGCUGUAAUCAUCCUUGACAAGAUGAAAUAUGGCCCCUGAAUUCCAAGAACAUAUGGGAUUACUGAGAAGGAAAAUGGUGUGAACAAGGGCAAUUAUAGCAAUAACUAUCCAUGACACACUGCAUGGAGUCAGCCAAGCAUAACACAGAUAUAAUGAAAAUAUUUUUAAAGGCAAACAUGAUGUAAGCCAGUGCCAAAAUGAUCUAAUUUAUUAUUCUGUCAUGAAUGAUAAAUGUUAAUAACCUCUGUGUUUCACAAAAUAGCAAGAAAGUUUUCUUUUAUGUAUGACUUGAUUUUAAAGGAGACAAAGGGAAGAGGCUUUAUUGGAAGAGGAUGAAAAAUCUUUCUCAUCUAAAUUCUAAUCUUUAAUUUUUCAGCAUAUAAUUGCUGUAGUUAUUUUUUCCCCACCUCACCACACCUGCACACCUAUGCAGCACAGAGGAGGCAGCUGGCAGCAGUUAAUCAUCCCAGAAGCAGCUCUGACCUUGGGAAGGAGCUGCAGGACUGCAUCCCUGGGAGGGAGCUGAGGAGAUUGAGAUGUGACGUUUCUGACUUGCAUUAUCAUUCUCAGAUAAGUGUAAGAGUAAUAAAGCUUUCGUACAAGAAGUGUUGUUUUAAAACCCAUCCCUGGUGACCUGCUGUGGACUGAAACCACUCCCAGAGGCAGGAGUUCAUCCUGACCCUGGCUCUGCACUGGGUGCAGCAGCUCUCUCUGCUGGGGAGGCUCAGUGCAGUUAUUCUCUGGGUAUAAAGUUGAACAGAAACAUUG